UACGGAGGGGGCUAGCGUUGUUCGGAAUUACUGGGCGUAAAGCGCACGUAGGCGGACGGUAAAGUCAGAGGUGAAAUCCCGGGGCUCAACCCCGGAACUGCCUUUGAAACUCGCGGUCUUGAGGUCGAGAGAGGUGAGUGGAAUUCCGGGUGUAGAGGUGAAAUUCGUAGAUAUUCGGAGGAACACCAGUGGCGAAGGCGGCUCUCUGGCUCGAUACUGACGCUGAGGUGCGAAAGCGUGGGGAGCAAACAGG
rnacentral:rRNA from 1 species